AUUGAACGCUGGCGGCAUGCCUAACACAUGCAAGUCGAACGAGAAGCGGACGGGUGAAUGAUGUAUUGAGAUCUGCCUGAUCGGAGGGUAUGACUACUGGAACCGUUAGCUAAUACCGCAUACCGUCCGCUGGACCCAUAUUGGAUUAGCUUGUAGGUGAGGUAACGGCUCACCUAGGCGACAAUCCCUAGCUGGUCUGAGAGGAUGAUCAGCCACACUGGGACUGAGACACGGCCCAGACUCCUACGGGAGGCAGCAGUGGGGAAUAUUGCACAAUGGGCGAAAGUCUGAUGCAGCCACGCCGCGUGUAUGAAGAAGGCCUUCGGGUUGUAAAGUACUGUCAGUCGGGAGGCGUUAUCGACAGAAGAAGCACCGGCUAACUCCGUGCCAGCAGCCGCGGUAAUAC
rnacentral:rRNA from 1 species